rnacentral:rRNA from 1 species
GACAGAGGGGGCAAGCGUUGCUCGGAAUCACUGGGCGUAAAGGGCGCGUAGGCGGGAUGGCAAGUCGGUCGUGAAAUCCUUCGGCUCAACCGAAGAACGUCGGCCGAUACUGCCGUUCUUGAGGGAUGCAGAGGAGAUUGGAAUUCCUGGUGUAGCGGUGAAAUGCGCAGAUAUCAGGAGGAACACCAAUGGCGAAGGCAGCUCGCUGGGACGGUACUGACGCUGAGACGCGAAAGCGUGGGGAGCAAACAGG